GACGAACGCUGGCGGCGUGCUUAACACAUGCAAGUCGAACGGUGAAGCGCCUUCCUUUUUGGUGGGUGUGGAUGAGUGGCGCACGGGUGAGUAACACGUGAGUAACCUGCCCCCUUCUUCUGGAUAACCGCAUGAAAGUGUGGCUAAUACGGGAUAUUCUGGGUCUGUCGCAUGAUGGGUCUGGGAAAGAUAUUGUUUCGGUGGGGGAUGGGCUCGCGGCCUAUCAGCUUGUUGGUGGGGUGAUGGCCUACCAAGGCGGUGACGGGUAGCCGGCCUGAGAGGGUGGACGGUCACACUGGGACUGAGACACGGCCCAGACUCCUACGGGAGGCAGCAGGGGGGAAUAUUGCACAAUGGGCGCAAGCCUGAUGCAGCGACGCCGCGUGAGGGAUGGAGGCCUUCGGGUUGUGAACCUCUUUCGCCAGUGAAGCAGGCCUGCCUCGUUUGUGGGUGGGUUGACGGUAGCUGGAGAAGAAGCGCCGGCUAACUACGUG
rnacentral:rRNA from 1 species